rnacentral:tRNA from 1 species
GCCGUGAUAGUCUAGGGGUUAGAACAUUGGGUUUUGGCCGCAAGAACCCAGGUUCGAAUCCUGGUCACGGCA